CUAAGGAGCCCUUUAAGUCACUCCCUACUGGUGACACCUGAGGACACAGCAUGGUGGGAAAGAGGGUAGAGGAAAAAUUAGAAGACAAGCAGCACGCAUAACUCACUAAGACUUUGCUGAACAGAAAGUAAAGCCAUAUUAUCUGGAAGAUGCAGGGAAAUGGAGUGUUCAGAGGCAAGGCUAUGUAUGAGCAGACCAGCCAACAUUUGCCAGUGUAGAGCAAGACACCAAAAGAGAUUUCAUCAUCCAGAGCUUGAUCUGUUGUGUACCAAGUUCACUUACUCAGAUUGUUAUAGCUAUUCUUUCUCUGGAACUUAUCAAGAACAGAACUUUGCUUUUUAUUUCUUUGAAAUCCCUUCACACCACCCAAUAUGGUAUGAUUGACUCUCCGGCAGUUAGGUGAUUUUGCCCCCGGGGUCAGAAGGGAAUCUGGUCUCCAUUGUCCUGCUCUGCAAACCUGGGAAAAUGUGGAAGGCCAAGUUUGGCUUUUGGAACUCUUUCAGAAACACUCCUCAGUUAUAACUUGGCAAGUAGGAGCAGUACUGGCAAUUGAACCCAGGACAUUGUACAUGCUAGACAAGUGUUCUACCAUUGAGCUACAUCCUCGGCCCUUUUUUAAAUUUUUGAGACACAGUCUCACUGAACUACAAUCCUCCUGUGUCAGCCCCUUGAGUAAUUAGGAUUACAGGAUUGUGCCACCAGAUCCAGCUCCUUUUUUUUUUUUUAAGGACUUUAAUUCUAACUCCUUUUAGUUAGGACUAUAAUAAAAACAAAUUUUAAAAUCCCCCAAUUUAUGGGCCAAGGAUGUAGCUCAGCAGCACAGCGCCUGCCUGACAGGGCAAAGCCCUGAGUU
rnacentral:lncRNA from 1 species